rnacentral:rRNA from 1 species
CACCGCGGUUAUACGGGGGACCCAAGCUGAUAGUCACCGGCGUAAAGCGUGGUUAAGGAACCAAUCAACUAAAGUCAAACAUUUCCUUGGCUGUUAUAAGCCCCCGGAAGUUGGAAACCCCUCUACGAAAGUGACUUUAAUACCCCUCCCGAAUCCACCACAGCUAGGACA